rnacentral:tRNA from 1 species
GCGGGCGUAACUCAGUGGUAGAGUGUCAGCUUCCAAGCUGAAGGUCGCGGGUUCGAAUCCCGUCGCCCGCUCCA